AGGGCUGCGGUAAUUUGACCGUGCAAAGGUAGCAUAAUCAGUAGUCUUUUAAUUGAAGGCUUGUAUGAAUGGUUGGAUGAAAGAGUAGCUGUCUCUUUUGCAAUUUAAAACUUGACUUUUAAGUGAAAAGGCUUAAAUUUAAUAAGGGGACGAUAAGACCCUAUAAAACUUUAUGCACGACAUGUCUUGUCUUUAAAUUAUAUGUAAAUAUUGGUUGGUUAAAAGUGCAUUCCGUUGGGGAGACGUUGAUAUAAGCUGUAACUGUUUUAUUAAAUAGAAUAAUCAUUAUUAUAAUUUGAUCCUUCUUUGUGGAUAAAAAGAAUAAGUUACUUUAGGGAUAACAGCGUAAUUUUCUCAGAGAGUUCUUAUCGAAGAGAAUAGUUGCGACCUCGAUGUUGAAUUAAAAUUUCAGUUAGGUGUAGCCGCUUAGCUAGUAGGUCUGUUCGACCUUUAAAAUUUU
rnacentral:rRNA from 1 species